rnacentral:rRNA from 1 species
CCAGCUCCAAUAGCGUAUAUUUAAGUUGUUGCAGUUAAAAAGCUCGUAGUUGGAUUUCGGGUGGGCUUGGCCGGUCCGCCGUUCCGGUGUGCACUGGCCCGGCCCACCUUGCUGGCGGGGACGGGCUCCUGGGCUUCACUGUCCGGGACCCGGAGUCGCCGAGGUUACUUUGAGUAAAUUAGAGUGUUCAAAGCAGGCAUACGCUCUGAAUAUUUCAGCAUGGGAUAGCAUGAUAGGACUCUGGUCCAUCUUGCUGGUCUGUGGCACCGGAGUAAUGAUUAAGAGGGACAGUCGGGGGCAUUCGUAUUUCAUUGUCAGAGGUGAAAUUCUUGGAUUUAUGAAAGACGAACUUCUGCGAAAGCAUUUGCCAAGGAUGUUUUCA